rnacentral:tRNA from 1 species
GGUUUGUGGCUCAGUGGUACAGCACUUGCCUAGCAUGUGUGAGGCACUGGGUUCAAUUCUCAGCACCA